rnacentral:sRNA from 1 species
GACCUAGGCCAGAGGGAACUUGGGGCUCAGGGUGGGGUUCCUGGUCCUUUGGGCGUGGAGUCGUCCCAAACCAGAAGGCCUCCUGCUGCAGCCACCCCUGCUACCUGCCCACAGGUGGUCCGAGUCUACUGCUAUGUGACCGUGGUGAGCUUGCAGUACCUGACGCCGCUCAUCCUCACCCUCAACUGCACACUUCUGCUCAAGACGCUGGGAGGCUAUUCCUGGGGCCUGGGCCCAGCUCCUCUACUAUCCCCCGACCCAUCCUCAGCCAGCGCUGCCCCCAUCGGCUCUGGGGGGGACGAAGUCCAGCAGACUGCAGCGCGGAUUGCCGGGGCCCUGGGCGGCCUGCUUACUCCCCUCUUCCUCCGUGGCGUCCUGGCCUACCUCAUCUGGUGGACGGCUGCCUGCCAGCUGCUCGCCAGCCUUUUCGGCCUCUACUUCCACCAGCACUUGGCAGGCUCCUAGCUGCCUGCAGACCCUCCUGGGGCCCUGAGGUCUGGUCCUGGGGCAGCGGGACACUAGCCUGCCCCCUCUGUUUGCGCCCCCGUGUCCCCAGCUGCAAGGUGGGGCCGGACUCCCCGGCGUUCCCUUCACCGCAGUGCCUGACCCGCGGCCCCCCUUGGACGCCGAGUUUCUGCCUCAGAACUGUCUCUCCUG